rnacentral:sRNA from 1 species
AACUUAGCAGCUGGGGUUUUCUUGGCCAGUCAUGCCAACUGUGGCUAGGCCUGUUACAGUUUUGGUUUGCUGUCCCUGUUGCUGUCAAUAAAUAUCAGGGCCUUUGGAAUUCAGAAUGGUCUCAUUCUCUAUGUAUAUGUCUUUUCCAGGGAUGGACUCAAACUGGUGGGUGCUUAAGUCUGAUUUUCGUUUACCAACGGAAGAAGAGAUCAGAGCUAUGGUGUCACCAGAGCAGUGCUGUGCUUAUUAUAGCAUGAUAGCUGCAGAGCAACGACUGAAGGAUGCUGGCUAUGGUGAGAAAUCCUUUUUUGCUCCAGAAGAAGAAA